rnacentral:rRNA from 1 species
GGUUUCCGUAGGUGAACCUGCGGAAGGAUAUUAUAGAAAUAAACCUGAGCAGGCUGUUUUGCUGGUCCUCUCAAGGGACACUGUGCACGCUUGUCGUCUUUAUUUUUCCAACCGUGCACAUAUUGUAGACCUGGAGUUUUUCUUAUCGUUCGAAUAGAUUGAGGACUGCCGUCUCGGCUUUGCCUUGUAUUUUCCAGGUCUAUGUUGCAAACACAUUUUCACAACAUGUCUCAGAAUGUCGAGUACCGGGGAUAACAAAUAUACAACUUUCAGCAACGGAUCUCUUGGCUCUCGCAUCGAUGAAGAACGCAGCGAAAUGCGAUAAGUAAUGUGAAUUGCAGAAUUCAGUGAAUCAUCGAAUCUUUGAACGCAUCUUGCGCUCCUUGGUAUUCCGAGGAGCAUGCCUGUUUGAGUGUCAUCAAAAGUUCUCAACCACACCGGUUUCUCUGGUGUGGCUUGGAUUUGGGGGUUUGCAGGCUUUCAAGUCGGCUCUCCUGAAAAGAUAAGCGGUAUCUGAGCAGAAACCAAGCUUCGGGCGUGAUAAUUAUCUAUGCCU